GAUGAACGCUGGCGGCGUGCCUAAUACAUGCAAGUCGAGCGAACGGACGAGAAGCUUGCUUCUCUGAUGUUAGCGGCGGACGGGUGAGUAACACGUGGAUAACCUACCUAUAAGACUGGGAUAACUUCGGGAAACCGGAGCUAAUACCGGAUGAUAUUUUGAACUGCAUGGUUCAAAAGUGAAAGACGGUCUUGCUGUCACUUAUAGAUGGAUCCGCGCUGCAUUAGCUAGUUGGUAAGGUAACGGCUUACCAAGGCAACGAUGCAUAGCCGACCUGAGAGGGUGAUCGGCCACACUGGAACUGAGACACGGUCCAGACUCCUACGGGAGGCAGCAGUAGGGAAUCUUCCGCAAUGGGCGAAAGCCUGACGGAGCAACGCCGCGUGAGUGAUGAAGGUCUUCGGAUCGUAAAACUCUGUUAUUAGGGAAGAACAUAUGUGUAAGUAACUGUGCACAUCUUGACGGUACCUAAUCAGAAAGCCACGGCUAACUACGUG
rnacentral:rRNA from 1 species